UACGUAGGCAGCAAGCGUUGUUCGGAAUUACUGGGCGUAAAGAGUGUGUAGGCGGUGCUCUAAGUCUGUUGUGAAAUCUCCCGGCUUAACUGGGAGGGUGCGGCGGAGACUGGAGUGCUAGAGUGUGGGAUAGGUAAGCGGAAUUCCUGGUGUAGCGGUGAAAUGCGUAGAUAUCAGGAGGAACACCUGUGGUGUAGACAGCUUACUGGACACGACUGACGCUGAGGCACGAAAGCGUGGGUAGCAAACAGG
rnacentral:rRNA from 1 species